rnacentral:rRNA from 1 species
UACGUAGGAGGCAAGCGUUGUCCGGAAUUACUGGGCGUAAAGCGCGUGUAGGUGGUGGGACAAGUCUGCUGUGAAAGCGCCUGGCUUAACCGGGCGAGGUCGGCGGAAACUGUUCGACUCGAGGACGGUAGAGGGGGGUGGAAUUCCCGGUGUAGUGGUGAAAUGCGUAGAUAUCGGGAGGAACACCAGUGGCGAAGGCGACUUCCUGGCCUGUUCUUGACGCUGAGGCGCGAAAGCUAGGGUAGCAAACGGG